UACGGAGGGUGCAAGCGUUAUCCGGAUUCACUGGGUUUAAAGGGUGCGUAGGCGGCUUGGUAUGUCGGGUGUGAAAUCCCCGGGCUCAACCUGGGAACUGCAUCCGAAACUGCCUUGCUAGAGUAUGGGAGAGGGAAGUGGAAUUUCCGGUGUAGCGGUGAAAUGCGUAGAUAUCAAGAGGAACACCUGCGGCGAAGGCGGGUUGCUGGGCCGACACUGACGCUGAGGCGCGAAAGCCAGGGGAGCGAACGGG
rnacentral:rRNA from 1 species